rnacentral:rRNA from 1 species
AGCAGCCGCGGUAAUUCCAGCUCCAAUAGCGUAUAUUAAAGUUGUUGCAGUUGAAAAGCUCGUAGUUGAAUUUCGGGGUUCUACCGUUGGUCGGGCUAACCAGUCUGUACUAGCGUGUAGAAUCCCUACCUUCUGGGGAACCACCAUGUUAUUAAUUUAGCGUGGUGGGAAACCAGGACCUUUACCUUGAAAAAAUUAGAGUGUUCAAAGCAGGCUUACGUCUGAAUACAUUAGCAUGGAAUAAUAAAAUAGGACGGUGGUCCUGUUUUGUUAGUUUCUGAAUCACCGUAAUGAUUAAUAGGGAUAGUUGGGGGCAUUAGUAUUCAAUUGUCAGAGGUGAAAUUCUUGGAUUUAUUGAAGACUAACUUCUGCGAAAGCAUUUGCCAAGGAUGUUUUCAUUAAUCAAGAACGAAAGUUAGGGGAUCGAAGACGAUCAGAUACCGUCGUAGUCUUAACCAUAAACUAUGCCGACUAGGGAUCGGACGAUGUUAAAUUUAUUGACUCGUUCGGCGCCUUACGG